rfam:Nitrospira sp. ST-bin5 2235, whole genome shotgun sequence.
ACACGUUUUCGACAUCCAGUAAGUUCUAGCCCAUGUACUUUAAGGGAAGCGCGGUAGAAGCCGCCACUGGUCCGCAACUGUGAUCGGGGACGAAAUCUGCAAUCGACCACUGUCCGCAAGGAUGGGAAGGCGCAGAGAGUAGGACGAGCCGAGAGUCAGGAGACCUGGGUACUGGGAGACUCUAUGCAC